rnacentral:rRNA from 1 species
AGUAACCUGCCUUGGAGUGGGGAAUAACAGUUGGAAACAGCUGCUAAUACCGCAUAAUAUGUCUGUGUCGCAUGGCACUGGGCAUCAAAGAUUUAUCGCUCUGAGAUGGACUCGCGUCUGAUUAGCUAGUUGGCGGGGUAACGGCCCACCAAGGCGACGAUCAGUAGCCGGACUGAGAGGUUGGCCGGCCACAUUGGGACUGAGACACGGCCCAGACUCCUACGGAAGGCAGCAG